rnacentral:rRNA from 1 species
AUUGAACGCUGGCGGUAGGCCUAACACAUGCAAGUCGAACGAGUGGCGGACGGGUGAGGAAUACAUCGGAAUCUACUCUGUCGCGGGGGAUAACUUAGGGAAACUUACGCUAAUACCGCAUACGAUGGACUGAACCGAUGUCGGAUUAGCUAGUUGGCGGGGUAAAGGCUCACCAAGGCGACGAUCCGGAGCUGGUCUGCGAGGAGGAUCAGCCACACUGGGACUGAGACACGGUCCAGACUCCUACGGGAGGCAGCAGUGGGGAAUAUUGGACAAUGGGCGCAAGCCUGAUGCAGCCAGACCGCGUGGGUGAAGAAGGCCUUCGGGUUGUAAAGCCCUUUUGUGGGGAAAGCGGUACCCAAAGAAGAAGCACCGGCUAACUUCGUGCCAGCAGCCGCGGUAAUAC